AUUAGAACAAAUGUAACCAACAUGCAGUUAUCAGCCAUUAAACGCACACUGUAGCAUAUCCAAUCAAACGCUUCGUAUUCAUAACGCAAUUGGUGUAGUCACACAACUAGUCUGUAACUGUAAAUCAGUUUUCUGCGUAGAUUUAUUGCGAAAGUUCCACGUUAACAUCAAAAUGCCAAAAUAUUCGCGAUCCGAAUUGAAAAAGAUGGUGGAGGAGAUCUGGCGAAAUCUACCUCACCGAUUCGACGGAUAUAUUUUCAUCGAUGCGAAAAAUUCGGACAACAUCAGUUAUCAAUGCAACGGGGGUCACAUUUCGAAAAGACUAGUACCAGCAAGUAAACAGAUGCUUCCAGUGCCAUGGAGCCGUGAAACACAAUGCCGAAGAAAUUAAGCAAAAGAUUCUCACACAAGUUGGAAAAAUAAUUCGAGAUUUCUUGAUCACUGGAGUGCAGACAAACACAUGUGGCAAGGAUACAGUCUGAUCAAGCUUGGUGGUUACACGAAAGUCGACACAGAAAUUCGACGUGCAAAAGGGCACAUAACGAAAGUGGCACCCUAUCGAAUUUUGCAUUACAGCGCUGGCUGUAGAGACAAUGUGUGGCUCUCAGAAUCUUCCAGCGUGGUAAAAACUACAAGCAUUUGGUGUAUGUGGGAAAGGUGAAUAAGUACCAGGAGUACGAGGAUCGUUUACUUCACAUUUUGUUCAAAAGAUUCAUUUCCGACACCAUCGAAUUUCACUUAUGAUUACAACGGGUUGGAUGACGAUUUACAGGCACAAAGCCAUGCGAAGUGGCAAUCGCUGUCAAGAAAAACAGGUGAGACGUUCGACGCGUUCAUUUGGACACACGAUAUAAACGAAUUGAAAAUCAUUCGACACUAUCCAAACGGUGAGUUUUGCACAUAUUAACAGCCUGAAGGAUGCCGACAUGGCAGAACAGGUGAUUGAUAUUGUAUAAAAUAACCUUUUAGUCAAUUUGAAUCAUGUUGAUUACAUUUGAUGGACUUUC